GAAAGCAAGGCGAGGGCUAGUGGCGGUUCGAAGGGGGCUUUGUCAUGGGGGUGAUCGCCUCUCCCUUGCACAGAACAUUGUGGCCCCACACAUGGCACACCUCUACCUCAUUCCGGAUCGUGUUAACCAUAGUUGCUUAGGGGGGAUCAGUGCUAAAAAUUCCACACUCAGACAUAAUGGGACGAGCGCGUGCAUAAAGAGUGGGGGCAUUGUUACUCCCCACCAGGCCUUCGUGUCAUCAAAGAGUUUCUCAUUUCUGGUACUUGACCGAAUCAUCGACCACGCUGUACGGAAGAAAAGGAUUCCAAAAAUAUUACGACUUGCUUGUUUAGGAAACGCAUAAUAAGCACCCCCCCCCCUUUUUUUUGUUUUAUUUCCCUUGCCUCUGACUUUCAUUAUGUUAAUAAACUUCAGAAGAGCUUGCUGUUAGGCUAAUUAGUAGAAGCUGC
rnacentral:lncRNA from 1 species